rnacentral:SRP_RNA from 1 species
GCUGGGCAUGGUGGUGCAUUCCUGUAGUCCCAGCUACUUGGGAGGCUGAGGUGGGAGGAUCACUUGAGCUCAGGAAGUCGUUGAGGCUGCAGUGAGCCAAGAUUGCACCACUGCACUUCAGCCUGAACAACAGAGUGAGAACCUUUCUCAA